rnacentral:rRNA from 1 species
GGUGGGCACUCUAAGAUGACUGCCGGUGACAAACCGGAGGAAGGUGGGGAUGACGUCAAAUCAUCAUGCCCCUUAUGACCUGGGCUACACACGUACUACAAUGGUCGGUACAGAGGGCAGCGAGACCGCGAGGUGGAGCGAAUCUCAGAAAGCCGAUCUCAGUUCGGAUUGCAGGCUGCAACUCGCCUGCAUGAAGCCGGAAUUGCUAGUAAUCGCGGAUCAGCAUGCCGCGGUGAAUACGUUCCCGGGUCUUGUACACACCGCCCGUCACACCACGAGAGUUUACAACACCCGAAGUCGGUGAGGUAACCGCAAGGGGCCAGCCGCCGAAGGUGGGGUAGAUGAUUGGGGUGAAGUCGUAACAAGGUAGCCGUAUCGGAAGGUGCGGCUGGAUCACCUCCUUUCUAUGGAG